rnacentral:rRNA from 2 species
AGAGUUUGAUCCUGGCUCAGGACGAACGCUGGCGGCGUGCCUAAUACAUGCAAGUAGGACGCACAGCCUAUACCGUAGCUUGCUACACCAUAGGCUGUGAGUUGCGAACGGGUGAGUAACGCGUAGGUAACCUGCCUAUUAGAGGGGGAUAACUAUUGGAAACGAUAGCUAAUACCGCAUAACAGUAUGUAACACAUGUUAGAUGCUUGAAAGAUGCAAUUGCAUCGCUAGUAGAUGGACCUGCGUUGUAUUAGCUAGUAGGUAGGGUAAUGGCCUACCUAGGCAACGAUACAUAGCCGACCUGAGAGGGUGAUCGGCCACACUGGGACUGAGACACGGCCCAGACUCCUACGGGAGGCAGCAGUAGGGAAUCUUCGGCAAUGGGGGGAACCCUGACCGAGCAACGCCGCGUGAGUGAAGAAGGUUUUCGGAUCGUAAAGCUCUGUUGUUAAGGAAGAACGAGUGUGAGAAUGGAAAGUUCAUACUGUGACGGUACUUAACCAGAAAGGGACGGCUAACUACGUGCCAGCAGCCGCGGU